AAUAAGUGCAGUUUUGCACUGUUCAUCUCCAACGUUUGACCAUUCGUCUUAUUUGAAAGAUUUUUUAUGAUUAGUAUUUUUGUUGUUAUUAGAUGAUAAAAUAUGAAUAGUAUUUUUGUUGUUAUUAGAUGAUAAAAUAUGAAUAGUAUUUAUGUGCGACUAAUUUUUCUUAACUUUUUUAUAAUUUUUUUAAAUAAGACGGACGGUCAAACGUUGGACACGGAUAUCCACGACUGCGCUUAUU
rfam:Oryza barthii chromosome 4, whole genome shotgun sequence.